GGAAGUAAAGUCGUAACAAGGUUUCCGUAGGUGAACCUGCGGAAGGAUCAUUAUUGAAUGAAACACUUCUGGCUUUAUGCUGUUGUGCUGGCCCUUUGGGCAAUGUGCACACGGCUCUGGUCACUUGUUUCUUCUGUUCCACCUGUGCACUGCCUGUAGACACGCUGUGUCUAUGAUAUUUGUUAACACACAACAAUGUUAGUUGGCAUGUUAUAUAUAAUAAUAAAAUAUACAACUUUCAACAACGGAUCUCUUGGCUCUC
rnacentral:misc_RNA from 1 species